UUGUGCGAACGAGCGACAAACCAGCUGGGAGGAUGGAAGCACCUGUUCUCAAUUCCCCUUCUCCACCCGCGUUCAGUAACUAAAUACGGAUUCACCCCGUAAUAAGUCAACCGCAGACAGGGUCCUUCCACAACCACAUACUUAUGGCAGUAAAAGCUACAGCUCUUCUUCGAUCCAAGAAGCCUGGACUGCAGUCACCAUCUCAACACACCAACCAAGAGAAAGGCGGAUGGCUCAAUUCAAUAUGGAAAAUUGCACAAUAAAAGUUCCAGGACAUGAAGGCUGCAUACUGUGAACUUCAACCUUCAGGGCACCGUCCUGUGCAGAAGACUUUCUGCCCCAAGAGGGAUGGCUGACGGCAGACACUCACAACCAGCACAGACGCCUCCAACCUCAGACUAGGCCCUUCACAGUUGCUGCACUUACCCACCUUCCCCGAGUUUUUGUGUGGUAAUGACAACUGUAAAUAUAGUAUAAAGUAAUGUAUCUAGUGUCAUGUGUAAUACAUUGUUUAAAUUGUCCAUACAUUUCAAUGACAGUAAAUAUUGGUGGACACAA